GACGAACGCUGGCGGCGUGCUUAACACAUGCAAGUCGUACGGUAAGGCCCUUUCGGGGGUACACGAGUGGCGCACGGGUGAGUAACACGUGAGUAACCUGCCCACAACUUUGGGAUAACGCUAGGAAACUGGUGCUAAUACUGGAUAUGUGCUCCUGCUGCAUGGUGGGGGUUGGAAAGCUCCGGCGGUUGUGGAUGGACUCGCGGCCUAUCAGCUUGUUGGUGGGGUAGUGGCCUACCAAGGCGGCGACGGGUAGCCGGCCUGAGAGGGUGACCGGCCACAGUGGGACUGAGAUACGGCCCAGACUCCUACGGGAGGCAGCAGUGGGGAAUAUUGCACAAGGGGCGCAAGCCUGAUGCAGCAACGCCGCGUGCGGGAUGACGGCCUUCGGGUUGUAAACCGCUUUCAGCAGGGACGAAGCUUUUUGUGACGGUACCUGCAGAAGAAGCACCGGCUAACUACGUG
rnacentral:rRNA from 1 species